rnacentral:rRNA from 1 species
UACAGAGGGUGCAAGCGUUAAUCGGAAUUACUGGGCGUAAAGCGUGCGUAGACGGUUAUGUAAGUCGGGUGUGAAAGCCCCGGGCUCAACCUGGGAAUGCCAUUCGAGACUGCAUAGCUAGGGUGCGGAAGAGGGAAGCGGAAUUUCCGGUGUAGCGGUGAAAUGCGUAGAUAUCGGAAGGAACACCAGUGGCGAAAGCGGCUUCCUGGUCCAGCACCGACGCUCAGGCACGAAAGCGUGGGGAGCAAACAGG